rnacentral:rRNA from 1 species
CGAACGCUGGCGGCGUGCCUAAUACAUGCAAGUCGAGCGCGGGAAGCGGACAAUCACCCUUCGGGGUGUGCGUCCGUGGAACGAGCGGCGGAUGGGUGAGUAUCACGUGGGCAACCUGCCUGUAAGAUUGGGAUAACUCGCGGAAACGUGAGCUAAUACCGAAUGAAGUCUUUCGCCGCCUGGUGAAAGGAUGAAAGAUGGCUCUUGAGCUAUCACUUACAGAUGGGCCCGCGGCGCAUUAGCUAGUUGGUGGGGUAAAGGCCUACCAAGGCGACGAUGCGUAGCCGACCUGAGAGGGUGAUCGGCCACACUGGGACUGAGACACGGCCCAGACUCCUACGGGAGGCAGCAGUAGGGAAUCUUCCGCAAUGGGCGAAAGUCUGACGGAGCAACGCCGCGUGAGUGAUGAAGGUCUUCGGAUCGUAAGGCUCUGUUGUAGGGGAUGAAACGUCUAGGGAGGAAAUGUCCUAGACUUGACAGUACCUUACCAGAAAGCCACGGCUAACUACGUGCCAGCCGCAGC